rnacentral:rRNA from 1 species
CCUACGGGUGGCAGCAGUAGGGAAUAUUGCACAAUGGGGGAAACCCUGAAGCAGCAACGCCGCGUGGAGGAUGAAGGAUUUCGGAUUGUAAAGCUCUGUUGUCAGAGAAGAAAAUGGAGGUAUCCAACGAAAAAGCACCGGCUAACCUCGGGCCAAAAGCCGCGGUAAUACGGGGGGUGCAAGCGCUACUCGGAAUCACUGGGCGUAAAGGGCGUGUAGGCGGGAUAGCAAGUCAUAUGUAAAAUCCUAUGUCCUAACCAUAGAACUGCAUUUGAAACUGUUAUUCUAGAGUAUGGGAGGGGUAGGUGGAAUGCUUGGUGUAGGGGUAAAAUCCGUAGAGAUCAAGGGGAAUACACAUUGCGAAGCCGACCUGCUAGAGCAUACUGACGCUGAUGCGCGAAAGCGUGGGGAGCAAACAGGAUUAGAUACCCUUGUAGUC